CCCUUAGAUGUUCUGGGCCGCACGCGUGCUACACUGAGUAAUUCAAUGGGUAAGGGAACGCUAGAGCAUUACCUAAUCUUGAAAUUUGCUCGUGAUGGGGAUCGACGGUUGCAAUUUUCCGUCGUGAACGAGGAAUACCUUGUAGGCGCAUGUCAUCAUCAUGCGCCGAAUACGUCCCUGCCCUUUGUACACACCGCCCGUCGCUCCUACCGAUUGAGUGAUCCGGUGAGGCUCUGGGACCUGGACGGAAAGAGCGUUUCGCUUGUUCUGUUUGGGAAACUUGGGCGAACCUUAUCAUUUAGAGGAAGGAGAAGUCGUAACA
rnacentral:rRNA from 1 species